rnacentral:rRNA from 1 species
AACGAACGCUGGCGGCAGGCUUAACACAUACAAGUCGAACGCAUCGCAAGAUGAGUGGCAGACGGGUGAGUAACGCGUGGGAACAUACCCUUUUCUACGGAAUAGCUCUGGGAAACUAGAAUUAAUACCGUAUACGCCCUACGGGGGAAAGAUUUAUCGGGGAAGGAUUGGCCCGCGUUGGAUUAGCUAGUUGGUGGGGUAAAGGCCUACCAAGGCGACGAUCCAUAGCUGGUCUGAGAGGAUGAUCAGCCACAUUGGGACUGAGACACGGCCCAAACUCCUACGGGAGGAAGCAGUGGGGAAUAUUGGACAAUGGGCGCGAGCCUGAUCCAGCCAUGCCGCGUGAGUGAUGAAGGCCUUAGGGUUGUAAAGCUCUUUCACCGAUGAAGAUAAUGACGGUAGUCGGAGAAGAAGCCCCGGCUAACUUCGUGCCAGCCGCCGCAGUAAAAC